UAGGUACUUAAAUGUUGCAAUCACACUCCACAUUUAUCCUCUCCAUAACUAAACGCUAAAUUUAUUCCUUCUUAUCCUAGACGUGCUCUCUGCCGCUGAAUAAUGCUGAAAAAGAGUCAAAAUGCAGCUUGUAGAACGUAAAAUCUCGUGUCUCAAUGUAUGCACUAUCAUUACAUUCAACUCACAAAAGUAUUGCAAUGUUGGGCCCGUGCUUGCACGGGCAACUCUUACCUAGCCUUAUAUGGAAGAGAGAGUUUAAAGUUCUUUAACAUGUGUGCUCUUUGUCAUUCAAUUAUUUUAUAAGGGUAUUUUGAUCAUUUCACCUUAUCUAAGUGAUGAAUUUUUCUUUGAAUUCUCCUAUUUUCUAUACGUGUCUUUUUAUCAGGAAUUUUCUCAAGCAACACAAAGUUUUCUAAUUCAGCUUUAAUACCUAAAACUUUUGCUCUUCCAUUGUUGUAUGUAGAAAAUUUCUGUUGCAGCUACUCUGUGUGCGCUGGUGUUAUUCUGCAGGUCAUCGGAAUGUCAACUAAAGAAUUCUACUGGAGAAUUCAGCGUUUCUACAGUUUUCAACCCAAAAUGACGAGUUGCUUUCAUUCCUAAUGCACACAAUAUCCGAGAAGAAAACUGCGCGUUGGAAGUGCAGACCCUUCUCAAGAAUAAAGCCCAUAAAUCAGUGAGUGACAUUUUUCAAUCUCUAAGUAAUUGCAAUUUCACAUUAUCUGAAGAUUUUAUUCUAAACGUGCUUAAACGACACCGUUCUGAUUGGAAACCAGCUUUUAUCUUCUUCAAAUGGAUAUUAGCAGGUGAAAAUCCAUGUAGGUAUUCACCAAAUAUUAAAUCUUUCAAUGAAUUCUCGAUAUUCUUGGUUGUAUGAGACGUUUGAUGAACUCAACCAAGUGCUUGACGAAAUGUCUAAGAGAGGAAAUUUGGUUAAUGAAAAAACUUAUGGUAUUUGAUUAAUAGAUAUGUUGCAGCUCGUAGAGUUGAAGAUGCAAAAGAGUUUUUCUAUAAGAGGAAAAUUUUUGAUUUGGAACUUGAUGAAUUGUGUUUCAAGAAGAGGAUUCCCGAAGCUCUUGAGAAAAAUCUGAAAUUUGAAAAGGGAGAAGGGAUAAAGAAGAAUAAAUAGCUAAAGAAUAGAGAGAGAAAAAUUCUUAAAAUAAGCCAAAUAUUAAAGAAAAAAUAGAUUUUUUACAUAUAUUGUCGUUGUCUUUAUGAUGUGGCAAAAAAUCGCUGUCUCACGCGCCUUGUAGAGUUUAAUUUCAGUUUCUAUGCCAGGUGGACAGAAAAGGCGUACGUGUUCGAUAAAUAAGCAAGUUCAGGGGUAAUUGAAACAAAAUAAAGUUUAGGUGUACACUGAAUAAUAAGCUUCAAGUUUAGGGGAUAAUGAAUACUUUUGCCCACAAGAAAUUGUUUCUUUGUACAGGUAGGUGCAUCUCCAAUGCCACACAAGUGGCAGAGCAAGCCGGUUGAUUUUCUUAAUCUUUCAAAAUACCUUUCCAACGGCUGGACAUAUUUCUUUUGCUCCCUAAGUGCUUCGCUUGUAUGCUAAUUCUUUAUUUCCUUUUUGAUAACACUUAGCUGAUUUAUAUACUAUAACAUUGGUUAACUAGACUGCUAUGCAACUGUUGUACCUCUUGAGCUUUUCUUUUUUUCUAAUUUCCAGUGCAAUUUCUUGCUUACUCUUGCUGCUACUCUACAUUACCACUUGAUGCUACACAAAAAGUUAAUUGCAUGUACACUUGAAUCUUAUGUAGGAAGAUGUUGAAAAAUUAUUAGCACUUAAAUUAGUGAGAUGUAUUCAUCUUUCUUUUCUUUUUUGGUUGGAGUUUCUCUAUUACGGACACUUCAUUGUGUUAUUCUGCUUUUAUUGUAAGUUUUUGUGUUAUGUGCUUAACCAAAAAAUUGUGAAGGAAGAGAAAGGAAUAUUUUUAGCUAGGCUCAAGUCAUGUUUCACAAAUAUUGGACAGCCUCUUAUUUAAGUUAUUUUAACUAUCUUCUUAUGAUUUUAGAACUGCUAAAGUCAUACUAUCCGUUUGGCAACAGUAGAAGGGCCAAUUCUCAAUUGGCAACAUGUUGGAUUCCAAUCCAAAUCCUACAAGAAAUUGAUGGCAAUAGCUUUAUGCAGAGCUUUCCAUCAUAUUUUUUUAGCUUUAUAUCCUGUUUCAGGAUCGAUUGAUGUGUUGGUAGUUAUAAUAUAUGGAUAGUAAUUGCAACAAUAAAGUACUUGACUUCAUUUCAUCACGUGAUCAUGAGAUAUCCUUUAUAUUAUUUGUUACUAUUUUAUUUGAUAAAAUUUUAUUGUGUAAAACACAAUGCGCAAGAGGCCAUCAGGUUGAUAGAGCUUUGGUUGAUCAUGAUGCUGGGGAGCAACAAACUGAAAUUAAUGAGAAGACUUCUACACGAAUUUUCUCUGAAAAAAGCAGGGCACGCUUACUGAUGUUAGUUCUGCUUUUCACACGAUUGGUGUGCUGUGAUUUCAAAAAAACAUGUUAUAAGUUGUAAAAUUGCAAGUGGUGAUUUCAGAGACGAACACGUAUUUGUAUCAAGAAUACCAUUACUAUCAUCAGAGGAUGAAAAAAAUACCUGUUUCCUCUUUUAAAAGAACACAGUUUUCUAUACGUCUAUGCUUUGCAAUGACUAUAAAUAAAGCACAGGAACAAACAUUAGAUUACGUUAAGAUUUCGUUUGAUUACUCAAUCCUCUCUUCUGUCCCAUUUGAACAUGUGCUUAAGGAUCUUAACCAUUACUGAAAAUUGAUUACUGAGAUCCUCAAUAGCUUAGUGAUUCUGAUAUUGUGUUGAGCCCGUGCUGGCACAUGCUAUACUUUCUAGUCUUAUGUAGAAGAGGGAGUUUUAACAUGUGUGUUGUUUGUCUUUUUAAAAUGAAAUACAAGGAUAUUUUAGUCAUUUACAUUUA